rnacentral:rRNA from 1 species
CGGCGAUGUCCGAAUGGGGAAACCCAGUGCAAUUCGUUGCACUAUCGUUAACUGAAUACAUAGGUUAACGAGGCGAACCGGGGGAACUGAAACAUCUAAGUACCCCGAGGAAAAGAAAUCAACCGAGAUUCCCCCAGUAGCGGCGAGCGAACGGGGAGCAGCCCAGAGUCUGAAUCAGCUUGUGUGUUAGUGGAACGGUCUGGAAAGUCCGACGGUACAGGGUGAUAGUCCCGUACACCAAAAUGCACAGGCUGUGAACUCGAAGAGUAGGGCGGGACACGUGGUAUCCUGUCUGAAUAUGGGGGGACCAUCCUCCAAGGCUAAAUACUCCUGACUGACCGAUAGUGAACCAGUACCGUGAGGGAAAGGCGAAAAGAACCCCGGCGAGGGGAGUGAAAAAGAACCUGAAACCGUGUACGUACAAGCAGUGGGAGCACCUUCGGGUGUGACUGCGUACCUUUUGUAUAAUGGGUCAGCGACUUAUAUUCUGUAGCAAGGUUAACCGUAUAGGGGAGCCGCAGGGAAACCGAGUCUUAACUGGGCGUUAAGUUGCAGGGUAUAGACCCGAAACCCGGUGAUCUAGCCAUGGGCAGGUUGAAGGUUGGGUAACACUAACUGGAGGACCGAACCGACUAAUGUUGAAAAAUUAGCGGAUGACUUGUGGCUGGGGGUGAAAGGCCAAUCAAACCGGGAGAUAGCUGGUUCUCCCCGAAAGCUAUUUAGGUAGCGCCUCGUGAACUCAUCUUCGGGGGUAGAGCACUGUUUCGGCUAGGGGGUCAUCCCGACUUACCAACCCGAUGCAAACUACGAAUACCGAAGAAUGUUAUCACGGGAGACACACGGCGGGUGCUAACGUCCGUCGUGAAGAGGGAAACAACCCAGACCGCCAGCUAAGGUCCCAAAGUCAUGGUUAAGUGGGAAACGAUGUGGGAAGGCACAGACAGCCAGGAUGUUGGCUUAGAAGCAGCCAUCAUUUAAAGAAAGCGUAAUAGCUCACUGGUCGAGUCGGCCUGCGCGGAAGAUGUAACGGGGCUAAACCAUGCACCGAAGCUGCGGCAGCGACACUAUGUGUUGUUGGGUAGGGGAGCGUUCUGUAAGCCUGCGAAGGUGACCUGUGAGGGUUGCUGGAGGUAUCAGAAGUGCGAAUGCUGACAUAAGUAACGAUAAAGCGGGUGAAAAGCCCGCUCGCCGGAAGACCAAGGGUUCCUGUCCAACGUUAAUCGGGGCAGGGUGAGUCGACCCCUAAGGCGAGGCCGAAAGGCGUAGUCGAUGGGAAACAGGUUAAUAUUCCUGUACUUGGUGUUACUGCGAAGGGGGGACGGAGAAGGCUAUGUUAGCCGGGCGACGGUUGUCCCGGUUUAAGCAUGUAGGCUGGUUGUCCAGGCAAAUCCGGAUAAUCAAGGCUGAGGUGUGAUGACGAGGCACUACGGUGCUGAAGUAACAAAUGCCCUGCUUCCAGGAAAAGCCUCUAAGCAUCAGGUAACAUCAAAUCGUACCCCAAACCGACACAGGUGGUCAGGUAGAGAAUACCAAGGCGCUUGAGAGAACUCGGGUGAAGGAACUAGGCAAAAUGGUGCCGUAACUUCGGGAGAAGGCACGCUGGUGUGUAGGUGAAGCCCCUGCGGGUGGAGCUGAGACCAGUCGAAGAUACCAGCUGGCUGCAACUGUUUAUUAAAAACACAGCACUGUGCAAACACGAAAGUGGACGUAUACGGUGUGACGCCUGCCCGGUGCCGGAAGGUUAAUUGAUGGGGUUAUCCGUAAGGAGAAGCUCUUGAUCGAAGCCCCGGUAAACGGCGGCCGUAACUAUAACGGUCCUAAGGUAGCGAAAUUCCUUGUCGGGUAAGUUCCGACCUGCACGAAUGGCGUAAUGAUGGCCAGGCUGUCUCCACCCGAGACUCAGUGAAAUUGAACUCGCUGUGAAGAUGCAGUGUACCCGCGGCAAGACGGAAAGACCCCGUGAACCUUUACUAUAGCUUGACACUGAACAUUGAGCCUUGAUGUGUAGGAUAGGUGGGAGGCUUUGAAGCGUGGACGCCAGUCUGCGUGGAGCCAACCUUGAAAUACCACCCUUUAAUGUUUGAUGUUCUAACGUUGGCCCCUUACCGGGGUUGCGGACAGUGUCUGGUGGGUAGUUUGACUGGGGCGGUCUCCUCCCAAAGCGUAACGGAGGAGCACGAAGGUUAGCUAAUCCUGGUCGGACAUCAGGAGGUUAGUGCAAUGGCAUAAGCUAGCUUGACUGCGAGCGUGACGGCGCGAGCAGGUGCGAAAGCAGGUCAUAGUGAUCCGGUGGUUCUGAAUGGAAGGGCCAUCGCUCAACGGAUAAAAGGUACUCCGGGGAUAACAGGCUGAUACCGCCCAAGAGUUCAUAUCGACGGCGGUGUUUGGCACCUCGAUGUCGGCUCAUCACAUCCUGGGGCUGAAGUAGGUCCCAAGGGUAUGGCUGUUCGCCAUUUAAAGUGGUACGCGAGCUGGGUUUAGAACGUCGUGAGACAGUUCGGUCCCUAUCUGCCGUGGGCGCUGGAGAAUUGAGGGGGGCUGCUCCUAGUACGAGAGGACCGGAGUGGACGCAUCACUGGUGUUCGGGUUGUCAUGCCAAUGGCACUGCCCGGUAGCUAAAUGCGGAAGAGAUAAGUGCUGAAAGCAUCUAAGCACGAAACUUGCCCCGAGAUGAGUUCUCCCUGAGACUUUAAGUCUCCUGAAGGAACGUUGAAGACGACGACGUUGAUAGGCCGGGUGUGUAAGCGCAGCGAUGCGUUGAGCUAACCGGUACUAAUGAACCGUGAGGCUUAACCUU